rnacentral:rRNA from 1 species
GACGAACGCUGGCGGCAUGCCUAAUACAUGCAAGUCGAGCGAACAGAUGAAGUGCUUGCACUUCUGACGUUAGCGGCGAACGGGUGAGUAACACGUAAGGAAUCUACCUAUAAGCGGGGGAUAUCAUUCGGAAACGGGUGCUACUACCGCAUAAUAUCUUCUUCCGCAUGGAAGAAGAUUGAAAGACGGCUCUGCUGUCACUUAUAGAUGACCUUGCGGUGCAUUAGUUAGUUGGUGGGGUAACGGCCUACCAAGACGAUGAUGCAUAGCCGACCUGAGAGGGUGAUCGGCCACAUUGGGACUGAGACACGGCCCAAACUCCUACGGGAGGCAGCAGUAGGGAAUCUUCCGCAAUGGGCGAAAGCCUGACGGAGCAGUGCCGCGUGAGUGAAGAAGGCCUUCGGGUCGUAAAACUCUGUUAUAAGAGAAGAACAAAUUGUAGAGUAACUGCUACAGUCUUGACGGUAUCUUAUCAGAAAGCCACGGCUAACUACGUGCCAGCAGCCGCCGCGG